UACGAAGGGGGCUAGCGUUGCUCGGAAUCACUGGGCGUAAAGGGUGCGUAGGCGGGUCUUUAAGUCAGAGGUGAAAUCCUGGAGCUCAACUCCAGAACUGCCUUUGAUACUGAAGAUCUUGAGUUCGGGAGAGGUGAGUGGAACUGCGAGUGUAGAGGUGAAAAUUCGUAGAUAUUCGCAAGAACACCAGUGGCGAAGGCGGCUCACUGGCCCGAUACUGACGCUGAGGCACGAAAAGCGUGGGGGAGCAA
rnacentral:rRNA from 1 species